rnacentral:rRNA from 1 species
UACGUAGGGUGCAAGCGUUAUCCGGAAUUAUUGGGCGUAAAGAGCUCGUAGGCGGUUUGUCGCGUCUGCCGUGAAAGUCCGGGGCUCAACUCCGGAUCUGCGGUGGGUACGGGCAGACUUGAGUGAUGUAGGGGAGACUGGAAUUCCUGGUGUAGCAGUGAAAUGCGCAGAUAUCAGGAGGAACACCGAUGGCGAAGGCAGGUCUCUGGGCAUUAACUGACGCUGAGGAGCGAAAGCAUGGGGAGCGAACAGG